UAAUUAAUUAUAUUAAUCACAAGUGUAGGUUAAUCAAGAUUCCAGAUUCUUAAUUGUCACAGUUUCAAACAUGGAAAUUCAAUCGAUACCCAAUCAAUAACAAUUGAAUUGGUAAUGGAAGAAGAUGAGAAAUGAUCAAUUAAUCAAACAGAACACUAAUUAAUUGUGAUGAUGAUCAUCAUGUAGGAAGCAGUUGGAGAAAAUUAAUCGUUAAUUGUAACGGUAAUUGUUAUAUCAGAAUCAAUUGUUAUACUUUUUGUUAUUAUGAUUAAAAAGAUAAUCAAAAUCUUUUGCUCUUUGUUAA